CCGCUGCGCUCCUUCCUUUUCCUUUCCUCCCUCCUUUCCUCCUCUCUUCUUCUCCCUCCCCUUUCUCCCCCUUUCCCUCCUUUUUUCCCUCCUUUCCUCUCUUCUUCUCCUUCCCCUCGGGGCCCCUCUUCCGUCUCGCGCGGUGGGGGGGCCCUGGCCUUGGGCCUGUACGUCCGCCCCGCGUGGGUGGGGCCCGCAAGCAAUGGACCGGUCGUCCCCAGGGGUCCCGAGCGCAGCGGCUGAUCCCAGGCUCGAGGAGACCCCCGGGCGAUGACCCGUUAGUGUCGAAAUCCCCUACGCGCGGGGUUCAUCCCCCUACGCGUAGCACCGUUGACCUCGGAUCAGGCGGGGUUACCCGCUGAACUUAAGC
rnacentral:misc_RNA from 1 species